ACGUAAUAGAUACCCCGGUAGUCCUAGCCCUAAACGAUGGGUACUAGAUAGUGGGCCUGAUAUAGCUCACUGUCGAAAGUUAAAAAAUGCUAAGUACCCCGCCUGGGGAGUAUGGUCGCAAGGCUGAAACUCAAAGAAAUUGACGGGGGCUCACACAAGCGGUGGAGCAUGUGGCUUAAUUCGAGGCUACGCGAAGAACCUUAUCCUGGACUUGACAUGUGCGAAAGCGUCAGGUGGUAGAAGCCGGAAACGGUAACGAACCCCGCAAGGGGGAGCCUGAUACAGGUGCUGCAUGGCUGUCGUCAGCUCGUGUCGUGAGAUGUCGGGUUAAGUCCCAUAACGAGCGAAACCCUUACCUUUAGUUGCCACCCGCAAGGAGCACUCUAGAGGGACUGCCGGUGUCAAACCGGAGGAAGGCGGGGAUGACGUCAAGUCCUCAUGGCCUUUAUGUCCAGGGCUGCACACGUGCUACAAUGGCGCACACAAAGUGAAGCGACUGCGCGAGCAGAAGCGAAUCACAAAAAUUAGCG
rnacentral:rRNA from 1 species